GAUGAACGCUGGCGGCGUGCCUAAUACAUGCAAGUCGAGCGAACGGACGAGAAGCUUGCUUCUCUGAUGUUAGCGGCGGACGGGUGAGUAACACGUGGAUAACCUACCUAUAAGACUGGGAUAAUUUCGGGAAACCGUAGCUAAUCCCGGAUAAUAUUCUGAACCGCAUGGUUCAAAAGUGAAAGACGGUCUUGCUGUCACUUAUAGAUGGAUCCGCGCUGCAUUAGUUAGUUGGUAAGUUAACGGCUUACCAAGGGAAGGAUGCAUAACCGACCUGCGAGGGGGAACGGCCCCACAGGACCUGAGAAACGGUCCUGACUCCUAGGGGAGGCAGCAGUAGGAAAUCUUGCCAAAUGUGCGAAAGCCUGCCGGAGCAACGCCGCGUUGGUGAUGAAGGUCUGCGGAUCGUAAAACUCUGUUAUUAGGGAAGACAUAUGUGUAAGUAACUGUGCACAUCUUGACGGUACCUAAUCAGAAAGCCACGGCUAACUACGUG
rnacentral:rRNA from 1 species